rnacentral:sRNA from 2 species
CCGCCCGUCACACCAUGAGAGUUGAUAAUACCAGAAGUCGGUAUUCUAACCGCAAGGAGGAAGCCGCCCAAGGUAGGAUUGAUGAUUAGGGUGAAGUCGUAACAAGGUAUCCGUACGAGAACGUGCGGAUGGAUCACCUCCUUUCUAUGGAGUUAAUACUUUAUAGUAAUUAACUAGUUUUAAUGACCGUUAUGUUUAGUUUUCAGAGAUUAGUUUCUCUGACAAUAACAAGUAAAUGUUAUUAGAAUUGUUCUUUGAAAACUGGAUAAUAGACAUCUAGUUAUUUUAAUCAAGUAAUUAAAAUAACAAUAAUUCAAAAUUUCUGUUAUUUUUAAAAAAUAACUAAAAUUUCACAGUUAUAUUUGUAAAUGAUUCUCAAAAACUGAUUUAAAAUCAGGUCAAAUAAUUUAUAAAACUUUGAAGUUACAAAGGGCGUAUGGUGAAUGCCUUGGGAAUAGGAGACGAUGAAGGACGUGACUACCUGCGAUAAGGUUCGGGGAGCUGGAAGUAAGCUUUGAUCCGGACAUGUCCGAAUGGGGAAACCCGGUGAGAUUAAUCUCUCAUAAUCCUAUAAUGAAUAAAUAGUUAUAGUGAAGGUAUACCUAGGGAAUUGAAACAUCUUAGUACCUAGAGGAAAAGAAAGCGAAAGCGAUUCUCUUAGUAGCGGCGAGCGAACGGGGAACAGCCCAAACCAGAUUUAUCUGGGGUUGUAGGACCAUAAUAGUAGAGUUACAAAACUUGUUUAUAGUAGAAAUGGUUGGGAAACCAUGCCACAGAGGGUGAUAGCCCCGUAUAUGAAAUAGACAAGACUCGAAAUGGUAUCCUGAGUACGGCGAGACACGUGAAAUCUUGUCGGAAUCAACGCGGACCACCGCGUAAGGCUAAAUACUACCUAUUCACCGAUAGUGAACCA